rnacentral:rRNA from 1 species
CCUACGGGAGGCAGCAGUGGGGAAUUUUGGACAAUGGACGCAAGUCUGAUCCAGCCAUGCCGCGUGCGGGAAGAAGGCCUUCGGGUUGUAAACCGCUUUUGUCAGGGAAGAAAUCCCUUGGGAUAAUACCUCGGGGGGAUGACGGUACCUGAAGAAUAAGCACCGGCUAACUACGUGCCAGCAGCCGCGGUAAUACGUAGGGUGCAAGCGUUAAUCGGAAUUACUGGGCGUAAAGCGUGCGCAGGCGGUUAUGCAAGACAGAUGUGAAAUCCCCGGGCUCAACCUGGGAACUGCAUUUGUGACUGCAUAGCUUGAGUGCGGCAGAGGGGGAUGGAAUUCCGCGUGUAGCAGUGAAAUGCGUAGAUAUGCGGAGGAACACCGAUGGCGAAGGCAAUCCCCUGGGCCUGCACUGACGCUCAUGCACGAAAGCGUGGGGAGCAAACAGGAUUAGAUACCCUGGUAGUCCACGCCCUAAACGAUGUCAACUGGUUGUUGGGAAGGUUCCUUCUCAGUAACGAAGCUAACGCGUGAAGUUGACCGCCUGGGGAGUACGGCCGCAAGGUUGAAACUCAAAUGAUUGACGG